rnacentral:rRNA from 1 species
UGACAGGAGCUUGCUCCUGAAUUCAGCGGCGGACGGGUGAGUAAUGCCUAGGAAUCUGCCUGGUAGUGGGGGACAACGUUUCGAAAGGAACGCUAAUACCGCAUACGUCCUACGGGAGAAAGCAGGGGACCUUCGGGCCUUGCGCUAUCAGAUGAGCCUAGGUCGGAUUAGCUAGUUGGUGAGGUAAUGGCUCACCAAGGCGACGAUCCGUAACUGGUCUGAGAGGAUGAUCAGUCACACUGGAACUGAGACACGGUCCAGACUCCUACGGGAGGCAGCAGUGGGGAAUAUUGGACAAUGGGCGAAAGCCUGAUCCAGCCAUGCCGCGUGUGUGAAGAAGGUCUUCGGAUUGUAAAGCACUUUAAGUUGGGAGGAAGGGCAGUAAAUUAAUACUUUGCUGUUUUGACGUUACCGACAGAAUAAGCACCGGCUAACUCUGUGCCAGCAGCCGCGGUAAUACAGAGGGUGCAAGCGUUAAUCGGAAUUACUGGGCGUAAAGCGCGCGUAGGUGGUUUGUUAAGUUGGAUGUGAAAUCCCCGGGCUCAACCUGGGGACUGCAUUCAAAACUGACAAGCUAGAGUAUGGUAGAGGGUGGUGGAAUUUCCUGUGUA